GGGCAUGCACUAAUUGCUCAUUCCUCUGAUUCUAAAUAUAAGUUUGGCCAUUUUGUGGCUCGGCUGAUAAAAGUGGAGUGAGACUCAUAGCGGUUUAAGGUGACUCUGCUAAUUGAAAGAAUUUCCCUGGAGGUUACUCUUGGCAUAUGAUUUUAUUGGAAAUGAAGAUGUAUGUACUUGCCAUGCUCUAUUGAUGUGCCCCUUUCCCUUUCUCUUUUCUUUUUUGUUAAUCUUUCUUGUUUUCCAAUUUGCAUUUCUAGAUUGAUGUUUCUCUUUUAUGCAUUUUGCAGAAAGAAUACCAAUGAUGGUGCUUUAACAAACUUUGAG
rnacentral:lncRNA from 1 species